rnacentral:misc_RNA from 1 species
GAAUUUUUAGGGCGUUCUUUUUAGAAGCCCGACCCUUUCAUUUCCACACACUGUGAACACACUUCUUUUUACACCCAUAUUUAUAAACUCACAAGUCUAUAAGAAUGUUUAAAAGUCUCUUAAUUGAGCAUAAAGUUAUAAUACAACUUUCGGCAACGGAUCUCUUGGCUCU